rnacentral:rRNA from 1 species
AUUGAACGCUGGCGGCAUGCCUUACACAUGCAAGUCGAACGGUAACAGGUCUUCGGGUGCUGACGAGUGGCGAACGGGUGAGUAAUACAUCGGAACGUGCCUAGUAGUGGGGGAUAACUACUCGAAAGAGUGGCUAAUACCGCAUGAGAUCUACGGAUGAAAGCAGGGGAUCGCAAGACCUUGUGCUACUAGAGCGGCCGAUGGCAGAUUAGGUAGUUGGCGGGAUAAAAGCUUACCAAGCCGACGACCUGUAGCUGGUCUGAGAGGACGAUCAGCCACACUGAGACUGAGAAACGGCCCAGACUCCUACGGGAGGCAGCAGUGGGGAAUUUUGGACAAUGGGCGAAAGCCUGAUCCAGCAAUGCCGCGUGCAGGAUGAAGGCCUUCGGGUUGUAAACUGCUUUUGUACGGAACGAAAAGCCCCGGGUUAAUACCCUGGGGUCAUGACGGUACCGUAAGAAUAAGCACCGGCUAACUACGUGCCAGCCGCCGCAGUAA